CAGCCCUUGACAUGUCCCGUUUGGGUUUCAGAGAUGAGACCCUUCAGUUCGGCUGGCGGGAACACAGGUGCUGCAUGGCUGUCGUCAGCUCGUGUCGUGAGAUGUUGGGUUAAGUCCCGCAACGAGCGCAACCCUCAUCUUCAGUUGCCAUCAUUUAGUUGGGCACUCUGAAGAAACUGCCGGUGACAAGCCGGAGGAAGGCGGGGAUGACGUCAAGUCCUCAUGGCCUUUAUGUCCAGGGCUACACACGUGCUACAAUGGCCGGUACAACGCGCAGCGAAGCCGCGAGGUGGAGCCAAUCGCAAAAAACCGGUCUCAGUUCGGAUUGCAGGCUGCAACUCGCCUGCAUGAAUCUGGAAUCGCUAGUAAUGGCGUAUCAGAACGAUGCCGUGAAUACGUUCCC
rnacentral:rRNA from 1 species